CAGUGUUACAGGUCUUUUGGAAUUUGUCCAGCAGGCUUUCUGGUUUUUACCAGAAGCCUCC
ensembl:snRNA U7 U7 small nuclear RNA